GCUUUUAUUCUUUAGCCGGAUGAUAGGGGGUGAUGAAGUAUAUGGGGAUCUUCGUGUGGUGAAUAUUCAUAGUGGGUUGUGAAAAAGAAGGGAUGAUAUUGAGCUACUAUUUACUCUUAUAAGCUCUAGAAAGUUGUGAAAAGAAAAGAAAAAAAAAAUUGUUCAAGAAAAAGAAAAAGAAAAGAAAAAAAAAAAGAGAAAAAGAAAAGAAAAGUGUGAAGUCGAGUGUAUAUUGAGAGUGUUGUUAGAUAAUCGACUUCGUGUGUUGGAAAUAAAUGGAGAGCAUAAAAGAGUGGUUAGUU
rnacentral:lncRNA from 1 species